GAUGAACGCUAGCGGCAGGCUUAACACAUGCAAGUCGAGGGGUAGUUAUCUUCGGAUAAUGAGACCGGCGCACGGGUGCGUAACGCGUAUGCAAUCUACCUUAUACAGGGGGAUAGCCCAGAGAAAUUUGGAUUAAUACCCCAUAGUAUUACGAAAUCGCAUGGUUUUGUAAUUAAAGUUCCAACGGUAUAAGAUGAGCAUGCGUCCCAUUAGCUAGUUGGUGUGGUAACGGCACACCAAGGCAACGAUGGGUAGGGGUCCUGAGAGGGAGGUCCCCCACACUGGUACUGAGACACGGACCAGACUCCUACGGGAGGCAGCAGUGAGGAAUAUUGGUCAAUGGGCGCAAGCCUGAACCAGCCAUGCCGCGUGCAGGAUGACGGUCCUAUGGAUUGUAAACUGCUUUUGUACAAGAAGAAACACUUCCUCGUGAAGGAAGCUUGACGUACUGUAAGAAUAAAGAUCGGCUAACUCCGUGCCAGCAGCCGCGGUAAUACGGAAGAUCCAAGCGUUAUCCGGAAUCAUUGGGUUUAAGGGUCCGUAGGCGGUUUUAUAAGUCAGUGGUGAAAUCUGGUCGCUCAACGAUCAAACGGCCAUUGAUACUGUAGAACUUGAAUUACUUGGAAGUAACUAGAAUAUGUAGUGUAGCGGUGAAAUGCUUAGAGAUUACAUGGAAUACCAAUUGCGAAGGCAGGUUACUACAAGUGGAUUGACGCUGAUGGACGAAAGCGUGGGGAGCGAACAGGAUUAGAUACCCUGGUAGUCCACGCCGUAAACGAUGGAUACUAGCUGUUUGGAGCAAUCUGAGUGGCUAAGCGAAAGUGAUAAGUAUCCCACCUGGGGAGUACGCUCGCAAGAGUGAAACUCAAAGGAAUUGACGGGGGCCCGCACAAGCGGAGGAGCAUGUGGUUUAAUUCGAUGAUACGCGAGGAACCUUACCAAGGCUUAAAUGGGAAACGACAGGUUUGGAAACAGACUUUUCUUCGGACGUUUUUCAAGGUGCUGCAUGGUUGUCGUCAGCUCGUGCCGUGAGGUGUCAGGUUAAGUCCUAUAACGAGCGCAACCCCUGUUGUUAGUUGCCAGCGAGUCAAGUCGGGAACUCUAACAAGACUGCCAGUGCAAACUGUGAGGAAGGUGGGGAUGACGUCAAAUCAUCACGGCCCUUACGCCUUGGGCUACACACGUGCUACAAUGGACGGUACAGAGAGCAGCCACUACGCAAGUAGGAGCGAAUCUACAAAACCGUUCUCAGUUCGGAUCGGAGUCUGCAACUCGACUCCGUGAAGCUGGAUUCGCUAGUAAUCGCAGGUCAGCCAUGCUGCGGUGAAUACGUUCCCGGGCCU
rnacentral:rRNA from 1 species